GACGAACCGAGCGAACGUUGUUCGGAAUCACUGGGCUUAAAGGGCGCGUAGGCGGGUGACUAAGUCUGUGGUGAAAUCCGGCAGCUUAACUGUCGAAUUGCCAUGGAUACUGGUUGUCUCGAGGGAGGCAGGGGUGCGCGGAACUAAUGGUGGAGCGGUGAAAUGCGUUGAUAUCAAGAGGAACACCUGAGGCGAAGGCGGGUUGCUAGGCUGACACUGACGCUGAGGCGCGAAAGCUAGGGUAGCAAACGGG
rnacentral:rRNA from 1 species